GCGCAUACACGCUCGUUAAUGGGCUUAGGUAUUAGCGAGUCCUAACGAUGCAUACAAAUGUGCUCUGCGCUCUGUAGGCCCCUCAAGAUUUAUGGGCCUUGAGCUCUCUGAAGCUGUAAACAAGGAGAAAAAAAAGAGAAAGAGAGAGAGAGACUGGGGGAAAGAGACAGAGGCCUGACUCACCCCUCCAGGUUGUGGGAGAGAAGGGAGCUUUGCAAGUGGGUUCUUAUGUAUUUUGCUUUCCUUACAAGCUGGUUGUGCGUGGGUCUGGGCAUUGGGCUGGGGCUGGGGCUGGGGCGGUGGUUGCCUGAACGCUGGUGUGCGUGGGCAGCGUGUUGUUUGCCAGCCGGGGUGGAAGGCCGCCUGCAUCCUGUGAAUGGCUGUGCAGGGCCUGCAUCCAGCAGGCAUCUGUGGGCAUUUACCUGGAGUGUGUGCACUGUGCUAGGGGUGUGUGUGUGUGUGUGUGGGAGAGAGAGAGAGAGAGAGAAAGAGAGAGACAAGCAGGCCUCCCUCCGGGCCUGGCUGCUGUCCCCUGAACCCCGUGAACAAAUCUCUACCAACAAUCAUAAUAACAAUAAAUAAUAAAUAACAAUAAAACAGUAGUUAACAGUCCCUCCCUAGCAGGAUAACAAUAAAAUGCAAGAGGAGAGAUUUUGAGGAGGGGCCAGGGGACCGAGUCACCAUCACAGCAUCUGAGGGGAAGACAAGGGAGGGAGGAGGCAAGUUAGCUUCUUCCUAUAUGCCCUGGGGGCGCCGGGUUUGGGAACCCCUGUCCGCCCGGGUCCUCCGGCCAGAGGAGGAGAGGGAGAGCCAGGAGGCCGCUCCGCCUGCUGCUUUUUCGCCGGCUUUGGCUUUGUGCGAUCAGGGCAGGGCUCCCACAUGUGGGGGUGAUUAGUGGCUUUGGGGAGUCUCUGGAGCCCCCGUUUUGAAGAGGAGGGCGAGCGAACAGGGUGAGGCGAGGGGGCAGAGGGGGGUGAGGCGGUGGCCGAGCGGGUCGGCCCCUCUGGGGACACAGGUGCCGGGCGGCCGCGCGGGUCGGACGGAAGCAGGAAAGCACAUACGGCCCCGGGAGCCGGAGAGCAGGGCCGGGUUUCCGGUAGGCCCGGGCAGGUUCCCUUUCUAGGGGCUUUUCAAACACACAAGCAAAGAAAAACGACAACGACAGCAACAACAACAAGACAACAAAAAAACCCAAAGAGCAAAAGAAGGAGAAGAAGGAAGGAGGGGUUGAGGCGCUGAAUUGUCCUUGGUGCGCUUGGAGCCAGCGGAUUUCCAGAAAGGAAGAGGAGACCGCGAUCCCGGAUCCCUCCACGUUCGCCUCAUUCUCUCCAGAUUCUGAGUGGUCUCUCGGACCACCCGAAGAGCCCCCUGGAGUCCCAGUUGCUCACCUCCUCAGCCCCAACCCAGGACAGAGAACUACAGCCGGCAUCACGACAGUCCUGACCACAGACAGGGCCACUUGGCCGGUCGUGGAGAUCCUGGACGUUGCAGCUCAGACUACGCAGACUCCGAGCUCUCCACCUCCCUGUCCAAGCACACACAGUCGCUCCUGGGAAGAAGCCAGUCCAGGCUGGAGAACACAAGAGCCAGUUUUACAUCCUGUGGACAUACAGACAGGGGCCUACUUCUUCAGUGGCUUCUACAGUGGCCAAUCCAAGGGCACGUACACUUGGCAUCUUCAUCUCUCUGAAUUCAGUUUUCCUGGCAGCCCCUGUGAUCUCUCACAUAAUGACUACCCUCACCACCUGGAGUCCACCCCUUUCCUGAAACUAGAAAUAUUCCCAUAGUUUGGGCCUCGGGGUUCUAGAGGAGUCCUUGAGUUCCCACUUCCCCAAGCACAGUCUACCUUUCUCGCAAGGGUCAGCCAACGUGACUCUGAGAAGUAUCUAGAGAUUAAUCUUCAGAACCCCUCACUCCCUGAGCUUCCCCCACCAAGCGCUGCCUUUCUGGUUCUAUCCGUGUUUGAUGAAGUAUCCCAGCGGUGCUUUUGUAUUUGAAAGGAUGUGAUCUGCAGAGGACUGCACUUAACACCAUGUGCUCUAAUGGUGGGACUCACGGCAUUUCCCUGGCGAGGUAAUUGGGGAGGGGGAAACAGAGUCUUCCCAGGGGCUUUAAACUGCAUCACUGCAUAAGGCUGAUCCUGCAUCUCAUUAUCCAUUAACUUCAGACGAAAGCUAUAAAAUGGGAUCCCUUUAUUCUGAUAUUUGAAACUAAGCAGAUAGGGGGCUAAUUUCUCCGCUUUUACCUGACCGCUGGCAUCAGGCAAAUACCCUCCCAUUGUCUUGCCCCAUCUUGUCUCUGCCUGCCUCCUCUCUGGGUCAGGGUCCCUAAGGGAAACAGCUCCCCGUGGUGUGCCGGCAGGGGCUCUGCGGAAAAGGUUGAGUUGUCAAAUGAGGAGACACCACAGCUAACACCCCCUCUUCCCCACCCCCCACCAACUCUGGAAUGAAGAUGGAGAGUUUUCUGUGCCUGGUUUGGUUCACGGAGACACAUAGUCCAUCAUUUGAUUUUCUACAAAGAGUAUUCCUUCCCUGCCCCCCAGCAUCCUCUAGUUUUUGCUCAGAGCUGGAAGGAUCUUAGUGAUGACCUAAUCGAACCACUUCACUGUGAAGGAAGGGAAACUGAGGCUCAGACAGAGACCAGAACCCAGGGAUUUUGAUCCCUAAGCUGUGCUGCAUCUGGCUCUCUUUGCACUUCAGCUGGAUACUUUUUAAAUUGCCCCCUCUGGAUGCCAGGAUCCAAGCUGGCUUUUCACGCAGAGAGCACAGGCAGCAGCGACCACCAGAGUGAUGUAGGCCCUCCUGCUUGGUGGCGGCCACUUCUGGGCACAGGCUCCAUCGUGUCCACACUAUGCUCCAUAAUCCCACCGGAGCCCACCUGUGCUUUCUGUGAAGUUGGGGGACUCUGUGCUCCCCCUUUUCUACACCAGCCCCUAGAGCUGGCCAGGGCCUGGAGAGGGGCUGAAGAUCUCAGGCAGGAAGCAAAGGGGUAAGCACAACUUUGUUGCCUCUGAUUUCCCCAUCCCUCCAGCCUCACAUGAGGAAAGAGGUUGUCCCUGAGAGAGAAGUUUCCUUAAUAUGCUGUAAAGCCUUCUCCAAGCUUCAAAGGAAAAAACAAGAACCCUGUCUUCUUGUCCAAUUCUGAGGACUGAAGGUCAGGGAUGGGGGGGUGAGCUUAAUUAGCACAAGGAAUGCUGAUCAUACAUAAGAAGGAACUUGCCAGUACACCCCCCCGCCCCGCCCUGUCCCCAGUCUUCAGACGACUGUCAACUCUGAAUGCACCACGUGAAUUCUCAUCCCCUGGUCCAGGCAAGUCAACCUCACAGGUUCCUUCCAGGCCGAAGAUUCUGGUUACUUGUCCCAGCAUUUGCUGGUCCGUCUAAUCCUAGAUUCCUCGGGCAGUGCUCACUCAGGGCCCCCGGGCCUUGGCCCAGAAACAUCUUUAAGUCUCAUGUUGGCCCUAAACAAUGUCCACAUCCCUAAGAAACAAAACGAAAUUGAACCAGUUCAGGGACAGAACUGAACUGUCCACUGCUGUGUGCACAACAGCGCUGGACUGGGAGUCCUGGGGUCGGCUACAGGCUGGAUCACCCUCCUCCCCAAAUUCGUGUGUUGACGGCCUAGUCCCCAGGACCUCGGCGCGCCGGCAUGUGGAGAUGGGCCCUUUGAUGAGCAGCAGAGGUAAGGCGCGGUCACACGGCUGGGCCCUAGUCCAGCCGGACGGGUCUGCUGGUAGGAGGAGGACACGAGGACAUGGACACCGAGGAGAGGCCACCCGAAGCCAGGACCUCGUGGGCAGACCAUCUACGAGCCGAGGACAGAGGGACCCCCAAAGAAACCAACCCUGCCCACACCUUGAUCUUGGACUCCUAAACCUCCAAAACCGCGAAAAAAUAAAUUUCUAUUGUUUAA